rnacentral:lncRNA from 1 species
UUUUUUUUUUUUUUUUUUUUUUUUUUUUGGGUAUUUUGACUUUUUAGGGCUAUACCCAUAGCAUACGGAGGUUCCCAGGCUAGGGGUUGAAACAGAGCUGUGGCUGCCAGUCUACGCCAUAGCCAUAGCAAUGUGGGAUCCAAGCCAUAUCUGUAACCUACACCACAGCUUAAGGCAACACCGGAUCCUUAACCCCCUGAGUGAGGCCAGGGGUCAAACCUGCAUUCUCAUAGAUGCUUGUUAGAUUAAUUUCCACUGAGCCAUGAUGGGAACUCCCCAACAGGUUUUCAUUCACCGUAAGUGGUGCUGUUGGCUAAAUGUAUUUGGUAUAUAUGUCUAUUUUGCUUUGGUACUCACGUUAGCCGUGAAAAUCUCAAAGAUGCAUAAAGUUGGAAUCAGUAAGGAACAGUGUUAAGCUAUAGGAAACAGAUUUGGAGGGUCAUUUGUCCCUUAGUAAAAUUUAACCAUUAUCUUUAACUCAUUUCCUUUAAUCUUCAUAAUUAUAAUGUACACAAGGGUACCAUACCUUAAAUGUAAUUGAAUGCACCUAUUAGAUAUAGUGAAAAAUCAGAAAUCAUCAUCUUACAUUGCAGAGCAUUUUAUGCUCAUAAUGGGCUUUUUAGUAAUUUUUUAUCAUUAACCAAAAGCUAAAAAUAAUUCAUGAAGCAUCAAUAGAAUAAAAUAUUUUUUAUUUGCAACUAACAUAAACUUUAAGGAUUUCCCAUGUAACUUUUUAGAAAAUAUCAACCAUUUUAUCUUAGUCUGAAAUUUUAGCAUCAACUCUUAGAUUCAUAGAAAUAAAAGAGUGGGACAAGGGUGGGACUUAUAUUUGUUUGCAUUGAUAUAUACCAGGGUACUUUAAUUUUGCAUAUUUGAAAGCAAAUCUCUCUUGGUAAGCUAUUUCUAAAUAGAGUCAGAUGAAAUGUUAUAGUCUUUCUAGAACUAAAAUACAUAAUUGAUUAAAGUUUUCACAAAGUACAAAUGCGCAGAAUUCACACAUCAAGAGUAAGAGGAAGAUUACGGUUCAAAGGGGAGUGUGGCCUCUGGAGGAAGUGGAAGGUUUGUCAUUCAUUCUUUGUGCUUAUAAACAAAAUAGAAAUGUAAUUUUAAGACUCUUGAGAAUGAGAGAAAUCCAACAGAAAAGUGAUAUAUCCAUCAGUUUUCAUCUAAGUUGCACUUGACCUAAAAAAAACCUGUAUUAAAAAAUGAUUACCCAGGAUCUUCUUUUAUUAGCUAGUGUGUCAGCAUGUCGCAGUCAGUUAUAUACAUUGUGCAUAUAUGAUAAGUAUUCUUACUAAUGAAAGUAUUUAAGUUCAAGGGCUAACUUAAUUUUAGAAACAUAUUUAGUUAAGACCCUUACAAAACUACAUCCUUGAUUUUUGUCACUGUCACACAGCUCUGCUCUCUGAGCCUAGUCUCCAAAAGCUAUAUUGUCUGAACUUUUUAAAGAUUAUAAGGUGGAUGUUCCUCUAAAGGUUAUUCAUGAUCAGUAUUUUAAAAUGGCACUUCGACUCUGGCACUGACUUAACUUGUCAGUUUUAGUUGUUGCUUAUCAUAUGUUAAAGCAGAUUAAAAUAACAAAAUAAGAUUGUUGUACUAUACCACAGUUUCUUUCUCAUCUGUGGUCUUGCUAUAUUUAUAUUUAUCUAAUAUAAAAGUAUCUCAUUAUAUUGCAAUUAUUUUUUUAUUUAAGUAUCUUCCUCACUGGUCUAAAAGAUCCCGAAAGACAAAAAUUGAAUGGGAUGGUACACAUUCUAGUCUUUAAAAUCUACAAUGGCGUGGGACUGGGAAGAUAAGGACCACCAUUUUGCCGCUAAAACAAAGGAUUUGUCUAAACUAAAUCUCAGUGUAUUUCUUAAAAAUCCAAGUGCAGAGUCUGAAAAUAGCCUUUUAUUAUGAUAAUACUUUAGACAAGAAAGAUACAUUCUUAAAUUAAUCAUACCUCAUUCAUUUGAUUUUUGUUUGCGUGUACUAAUGCUGCAUUUCUGUAAGGCAUUCAAAUUGAAGCAAAUAUUACUGUAUUAUUCCAGGUUUGUAAGGUUUUACUAUAUAAAUUCCCUUUAGGGUUAAUUUAGAGAUUAUCCUCACCUUGUGUUUUUAUUCUCCAUAUAGUUUUAUGGAUUACAAAUAAUUUGUCAUCUAGAUUUUUGAAGAGCUCAUCAGUAUCUGUUUACAGUUAAUAAUUUUCCCACUGUUCAAUUAUGUCAUCAUCUGAUGAUUUUUAAUGUGAUAGCAGUGAUACCUGAUUAUUUAAACAUCACAAGGGAUCAUUUAAAAACCGUGAACAACUGUAAGAAUGGUUAUUUGGGAAAUGGUGAAACCAAUCCGAAUUUAAAGAAAAGAAGCUCUCGAUAUAUUUUGGGAAAGAAAGGUAAAAAUCAUGGGAGGGGGUGGAAAUGGACACAGAAUAAGGCAUUAAUGAAACAUUAGAAAGGCUCUUUCUGCAUUAGAAGACCAUAAUCUUAUGUGGUGUUUGGGAGUAAAAUAUUCAAAGUGUCAUAAGAAGUACUUAAUGGAUUGUUGCCUUGGAACACUCCACAGGGUGUAUUUUGUACUCUCCCUAGAAUCGCUUUUCUCUCUAUAGAUAUUUCAAGAUGCUGAGGAUUAAAAAAGCAGAACUGCU